rnacentral:lncRNA from 1 species
ACGCAGAGUGAAUCGGUCCCUAAGGAACCCCCGAAAGGGCUGCCGUCCGAUGGGUACACGAAAGUGACGAAGUUGCUUUGACUACUGAACCAUGCCUGUCUGUUGGAGCGAAUUGGAUGAUCGGGCCGAGGGCUGCCCCCUCUUCCCCUCGCUCUCCUUUCCUUAAUAUGAACCUUGAGUCAUCAAAGCCUUAACUAAUUCAGAGGGGCUCGGCUGGCCCGGUCGCCCUACGCUACUGGCGCUUCCAAAGGCGAAGCUCUCGUCUUUGGCGACCAGCAAACGGAGGGCGCGCGCCCUGUAGUUUUGAAGCAGGGGCGGACACUUUUUUUCUCUAAAGGCGAAGACUCUUAAGUGGGCGAACACUCGGCCCAGCGGGCGAACAUGCCGGGCUCCGGCUCCGCGCACCUGCUGACACCUUUCGAAGCACUUUCACGUGUGAACCGAAGUCGUCUUGCGUCACUCGUUCCUUUCUCAUUUCAGUGCUCGCCUUUUUUCAUCUUCCGUAGGGGCCUUGAUUUGAUUAGAGUAGAGGUCGCGAGAGAGCAGAGCGUACCGCCCUGCCAUAGUCGCGAGGAUCUUUAUAGUCGGUCGCGACUGUUGUCAUAGUCAACGACGGUUGAAACUUCCAGGAAAAAACUUCGAAUUGGGAGGGCGAUCCUCCCGGUGAACUGACCGUACCCCAAACCGACACAGGUGAACAAGUAGAGUAUACUA